AUACGGAGGGUGCAAGCGUUGUUCGGAAUUACUGGGCUUAAAGCGCGUGUAGGCGGAGUAUCAGGUGUCUUGUGAAAUCCCCGGGCUCAACCCGGGAACUGCUGGGCAAACCGGUACUCUUGAGGCAAGUAGAGGUGAGUGGAACAACUGGUGGAGCGGUGAAAUGCGUAGAUAUCAGUUGGAACGCCGGAGGCGAAAGCGGCUCACUGGGCUUGUUCUGACGCUGAGACGCGAAAGCGUGGGUAGCAAACAGGAUUAGAAACCCGGGUAGUCC
rnacentral:rRNA from 1 species